rnacentral:rRNA from 1 species
UGGGGAAUAUUGGACAAUGGGCGCAAGCCUGAUCCAGCCAUGCCGCGUGUGUGAAGAAGGCCUUUUGGUUGUAAAGCACUUUAAGCGAGGAGGAGGCUACUUGGAUUAAUACUCUAAGAUAGUGGACGUUACUCGCAGAAUAAGCACCGGCUAACUCUGUGCCAGCAGCCGCGGUAAUACAGAGGGUGCGAGCGUUAAUCGGAUUUACUGGGCGUAAAGCGUGCGUAGGCGGCUUCUUAAGUCGGAUGUGAAAUCCCUGAGCUUAACUUAGGAAUUGCAUUCGAUACUGGGAAGCUAGAGUAUGGGAGAGGAUGGUAGAAUUCCAGGUGUAGCGGUGAAAUGCGUAGAGAUCUGGAGGAAUACCGAUGGCGAAGGCAGCCAUCUGGCCUAAUACUGAUGCUGAGGUACGAAAGCAUGGGGAGCAAACAGG